CAAACAGCAAGUAAAACCGGGAUUAAAUCCAAGGUGCGUUGUAGAGCAGUGCACUGGACAUUCGACAAAGCGCAUUUUAAAGAUAAAUGGCAGCUCUGCUUUUUGGUUUGCUAAAAAGCUGCUGACAGACGUGACUGAAGAAAUGUAAUAAGUGGGUAACAUUCAUUGAAAUUACCAUUGAACAGCUGUACAUAUUGCAGAUUUCACCUUUAAAAAAUGAUUGACACUUUCUUUAGAAAUAUAUGAAAUGUACCAGUGAUCAGUUGUAUGAACACCCAUCCACCAACAUGCUAGCAGUGCUAAUUUACAUUAAGUUAUAAAAAGACUGACAUUGUUAGGGCCAACAGGAACCGGCGACCAUCGCACCACUUUGUAAAGAUGAGCAUGUCAGGUGGGACUUGGACAGUCAAAACUGGGGAUGACGAGACGACACUGCUAUUCUUAGCUUUUUUGUUCAGUGUUGAGAGAAGAAUUGGGACCCUACUUUCACCUCCACUACCACCCUAUAACCAGGCCACGAACGCCAGACUGCCAGCCACCAAAGUAGUUCUCAUUAUUACGAGAUGUGGAAGAUCAAACGUAAGUGGCGCCACCAUUUUGUGGCAUGCAUGCUCUUUCACAUUCAGUCAAAACGAAAAUAACAAAAUGACUGCAUAUGGCAAGUUGUUUUUCCCUACACACACAGGCUACAGUUCAGCAUGGCUGAGAGACAUUUCCAGCCAGGCAACUAAUAGAACUUGGUAGAACUCACACCUUAAAUUCUUUUGCGUUACGAUUUUGAUUAGAGAUUAACAAUAUAAAAUGCCACUGUACUGCAUUCCUGAUGUAAAACUUCUCUUACAGCCCCCAUCACGUACGCUUUGGAAGCAAAGUACAGGCCCUAUCUUGAGGUAAUUUUGCGAAACAAUUUGACCCAAUCUAAUUCACUGCAUAGCAGU
ensembl:lncRNA